AACGCGAAGAACCUUACCCACCUUUGACAUGGCAGGAACUUACCAGAGAUGGUUUGGUGCUCGAAAGAGAACCUGCACACAGGUGCUGCAUGGCUGUCGUCAGCUCGUGUCGUGAGAUGUUGGGUUAAGUCCCGCAACGAGCGCAACCCUUGCCAUUAGUUGCUACAUUCAGUUGAGCACUCUAAUGGGACUGCCGGUGACAAACCGGAGGAAGGUGGGGAUGACGUCAAGUCCUCAUGGCCCUUAUAGGUGGGGCUACACACGUCAUACAAUGGCUGGUACAAAGGGUUGCCAACCCGCGAGGGGGAGCUAAUCCCAUAAAGCCAGUCGUAGUCCGGAUCGCAGUCUGCAACUCGACUGCGUGAAGUCGGAAUCGCUAGUAAUCGUGGAUCAGAAUGUCACGGUGAAUACGUUCCCGGGUCUUGUACACACCG
rnacentral:rRNA from 2 species